GAUGACCGCCGCCGGCGCCCCUAUUAUAUGGAAGCCGAGCGAACAGACGAGGAGCUUUCUCCUCUGACGUUAGCGGCGGCCGGGGUCGUAACACGUGGUUAACCUCCCUUUAAGCCUGGGCUAACUUCGGGAAACCGGAGCUAAUACAUGGUAAUAUAUUUAACCGCACGGUUCAAUAGUCAAAAACGAUUUUGCUUUCACUUAUAGAUGUCUCCGCGCAGCAUUAUCUAGUUGGUAAGGUAACGGCUUACCAAGGCAACUAUGCCUAGCCGACCUGAGAGGGUGAUCGGCCACAAUGGAACUGAGACACGGUCCAGACUCCUACGGGAGGUAGAAGUAGGGAAUCUUCCGCAAUGGGUGAAAGCCUGACGGAGCAACGCCGCGUGAGUGAUGAAGGUCUUCGGAUCGUAAAACUCUGUUAUUAGGGAAGAACAAAUGGGUAAGUAACUAUGCACGUCUUGACGGUACCUAAUCAGAAAGCCACGGCUAACCACGUG
rnacentral:rRNA from 1 species